CAGUCGCCGCGGGAAUACAGAGGAUGCAAGCGUUAUCCGGAAUGAUUGGGCGUAAAGCGUCUGUAGGUGGCUUUUCAAGUCCGCCGUCAAAUCCCAGGGCUCAACCCUGGACAGGCGGUGGAAACUACCAAGCUAGAGGGUGGGAGAGGGUGGUGGAAUUCCCGGAGUAGCGGUGAAAUGCGCAGAUACCGGGAGGAACGCCGAUGGCGAAGGCAGCCACCUGGUCCACUUCUGACGCUGAGGCGCGAAAGCGUGGGGAGCAAACCGGAUUAGAUACCCCUGUAGUCCCUGUCUCUUAUAC
rnacentral:rRNA from 1 species